AUAUACACGAGUAACGUGUUAUACUCAGACACUGAAGCCUACCAGAGCAUUGAGAGCAGAGAUUUCUCAGCACCUUGGUAAUUGAUUACUGUUGCUUGUGUGGUUGACGUGGAUGGUAACACCUUGUGAUGUAUGACUCUGCCCUGCUGAGUAGACAUAGUGGCAGGAGGAUCUUUGUCUUGGUUUUGAUUGUAGGAGGAAAGCUUUGAACUUUUCAUUGUUGAAUAUGCUGUUGUGAUUUUAUGGGUCUUUUUUAUGUUGAAAAAUAGAACUUCUAUCCAUAAUUUGUGUGACUUUUUUUUUGAAGUCACAAAAAGAUGCUAAUUGUUACUGCCUUUGAAAGAUUUUUCCUUCCACACACUACUGAGGCAUAGAUUCCUGAAUGAUGAAUUAUUAAUAGAUAAGGAAAUUUUAUUUAGCUUUCUGUACCUACCACAUAAGGCAGUAUUUUAAAUUUUUAAAACUUUCAGAGAGAUGGGGGAGAAGAAAAAGUGAGCUCUUAAAAUUUUUAAAUGAGCAUAUAUUUUACAAUUACAAAAAAUGAAUCACAUGAGAAUAACUUUUUAAAUGCCCCACCCCAAAAUACAGCAUUCAGUAAGCACUAAAUAAGAAAUAGUUUUAAAGUAUUUCUUUUCAACACUUGGAAAAAUAUCUUUAGAAACAAAUUUUACCAAAUGAGUACAGCAGUGCCCACAGACAGUACACAGUAAUUAUAUUUCAUUGCCCUAGUUUCAAGAUCACUCUUUGUUCUGAUAGGAGGAUGUAGAUGUAGACAUUCUUUGUACUGGCUCUCAGAAAUUUUAGGACUUACUGGGCUUUAUUUUAGGAUGACUUAGAAUCGUCAUUUAUCUUGUAUUCACAUUUAACAGUUAACUUUGGCAAGUCAGUAAUUAAGUAUUUACCUACACACACACACACACACACACACACACACACACAAAGC
rnacentral:lncRNA from 1 species